GAGAAUGUUAUCACGGGAGACACACGGCGGGUGCUAACGUCCGUCGUGAAGAGGGAAACAACCCAGACCGCCAGCUAAGGUCCCAAAGUCAUGGUUAAGUGGGAAACGAUGUGGGAAGGCCCAGACAGCCAGGAUGUUGGCUUAGAAGCAGCCAUCAUUUAAAGAAAGCGUAAUAGCUCACUGGUCGAGUCGGCCUGCGCGGAAGAUGUAACGGGGCUAAACCAUGCACCGAAGCUGCGGCAGCGAACGUAUCACCCAAGACAACUUUACGGAGUUGACGAUUGACGGAGCGAAGCGACGUCAAAGCGUUCAUUAAAGUCGAGUUGGCUUAGGGAUACGUUCGUUGGGUAGGGGAGCGUUCUGUAAGCCUGUGAAGGUGUGUCGUGAGGCAUGCUGGAGGUAUCAGAAGUGCGAAUGCUGACAUAAGUAACGAUAAAGCGGGUGAAAAGCCCGCUCGCCGGAAGACCAAGGGUUCCUGUCCAACGUUAAUCGGGGCAGGGUGAGUCGACCCCUAAGGCGAGGCCGAAAGGCGUAGUCGAUGGGAAACGGGUUAAUAUUCCCGUACUUGGUGUUACUGCGAAGGGGGGACGGAGAAGGCUAUGUUGGCCGGGCGACGGUUGUCCCGGUUUAAGCGUGUAGGUGUGUGUUCCAGGUAAAUCCGGUUCACUUUAACACUGAGGCGUGAUGACGAGGCACUACGGUGCUGAAGCAACAAAUGCCCUGCUUCCAGGAAAAGCCUCUAAGCAUCAGGUAACAUCAAAUCGUACCCCAAACCGACACAGGUGGUCAGGUAGAGAAUACCAAGGCGCUUGAGAGAACUCGGGUGAAGGAACUAGGCAAAAUGGUGCCGUAACUUCGGGAGAAGGCACGCUGACACGUAGGUGAAGUGAUUUACUCACGGAGCUGAAGUCAGUCGAAGAUACCAGCUGGCUGCAACUGUUUAUUAAAAACACAGCACUGUGCAAACACGAAAGUGGACGUAUACGGUGUGACGCCUGCCCGGUGCCGGAAGGUUAAUUGAUGGGGUCAGCGCAAGCGAAGCUCCUGAUCGAAGCCCCGGUAAACGGCGGCCGUAACUAUAACGGUCCUAAGGUAGCGAAAUUCCUUGUCGGGUAAGUUCCGACCUGCACGAAUGGCGUAAUGA
rnacentral:rRNA from 1 species